CUACGGGACGCUCCAGUUAGGUAUAAUCUACAAUGCGCGCAAGCGUGAUAGUUUGAGCCAGAGUGCGUUUCUAUUGAAAUGCUUUUGUCGAAUGUAAAAAGUUCGACGAAUAAGGACUGGGUAAGACAGGUGCCAGCCGCCGCGGUAAUACCUGCGGUCCAAGUCGCAGCCAUUUUUAUUGGGUCUAAAACAUCCGUAGCUUGCUUGAUAAGUUUCUUGUGAAAUCCGAUAUCUCAAGUAUUGGGCGUGCAAGAAGUACUGUUAAGCUAGAGACAGGGAGACGUAAAGAGUAUGUUCAAAGUAGCGGUAAAAUGCUUUAAUCUUGGACAGACUAACAACAGCGAAGGCACUUUACGAGAACUGUUCUGACAGUAAGGGAUGAAGGCUAGGGGCGCAAAACGGAUUAGAUACCCGCGUAGUC
rnacentral:rRNA from 1 species